rnacentral:rRNA from 1 species
AUUGAACGCUGGCGGCAGGCCUAACACAUGCAAGUCGAACGAGUGGCGGACGGGUGAGUAAUGUCUGGGAAACUGCCCGAUGGAGGGGGAUAAAUUCUGGAAACGGUAGCUAAUACCGCAUACCCUCGGAUGUGCCCAGAUGGGAUUAGCUAGUAGGAGGGGUAACGGCUCACCUAGGCGACGAUCCCUAGCUGGUCUGAGAGGAUGACCAGCCACACUGGAACUGAGACACGGUCCAGACUCCUACGGGAGGCAGCAGUGGGGAAUAUUGCACAAUGGGCGCAAGCCUGAUGCAGCCAUGCCGCGUGUAUGAAGAAGGCCUUCGGGUUGUAAAGUACUUUCAGCGGGGAGGCGUUACUCGCAGAAGAAGCACCGGCUAACUCCGUGCCAGCCGCCGCGGUAAUAC